rnacentral:rRNA from 1 species
GAUGAACGCUGGCGGCGUGCCUAAUACAUGCAAGUCGAGCGAACAGACGAGGAGCUUGCUCCUCUGACGUUAGCGGCAGACGGGUGAGUAACACGUGGAUAACCUACCUAUAAGACUGGGAUAACUUCGGGAAACCGGAGCUAAUACCGGAUAAUAUAUUGAACCGCAUGGUUCAAUAGUGAAAGACGGUUUUGCUGUCACUUAUAGAUGGAUCCGCGCCGCAUUAGCUAAUUGGUAAGGUAACGGCUUACCAAGGCAACGAUGCGUAGCCGACCUGAGAGGGUGAUCGGCCACACUGGAACUGAGACACGGUCCAGACUCCUACGGGAGGCAGCAGUAGGGAAUCUUCCGCAAUGGGCGAAAGCCUGACGGAGCAACGCCGCGUGAGUGAUGAAGGUCUUCGGAUCGUAAAACUCUGUUAUUAGGGAAGAACAAAUGUGUAAGUAACUAUGCACGUCUUGACGGUACCUAAUCAGAAAGCCACGGCUAACUACGUG